rnacentral:rRNA from 1 species
CAGCAGCCACGGGAAUACGUAGGGUGCGAGCGUUAAUCGGAAUUACUGGGCGUAAAGCGUGCGCAGGCGGUUGUGUAAGACAGGUGUGAAAUCCCCGGGCUUAACCUGGGAACUGCGCUUGUGACUGCACAGCUAGAGUAUGGCAGAGGGGGGUGGAAUUCCACGUGUAGCAGUGAAAUGCGUAGAGAUGUGGAGGAACACCGAUGGCGAAGGCAGCCCCCUGGGCCAAUACUGACGCUCAUGCACGAAAGCGUGGGGAGCGAACAGUAUUAGAUACCUAGUCCCUGUCUCUUAUACACAU